rnacentral:rRNA from 1 species
GACGAACGCUGGCGGCGUGCUUAACACAUGCAAGUCGAACGGAAAGGCCCUGCUUUUGUUGGGUGCGCGAGUGGCGAACUGGUGAGUAACACGUGAGUACCCUGCCCUUGACGUUGGGAUAACUUCAGGAAACUGGGGCUAAUACCUGAUAGGAGCUCCUGCGCCAUGGUGUGGGUUGGAAAUUUUCGGCGGUUGGGGAUGGACUCGCGGCUUAUCAGCUUGUUGGUGGGGUAGUGGCUUACCAAGGCGUUGACGGGUAGCCGGCCUGAGAGGGUGACCGGCCACAUUGGGAAUGAGAUACGGCCCAGACUCCUACGGGAGGCAGCAGUGGGGAAUAUAGCACAAUGGGCGGAAGCCUGAUGCAGCAACGCCGCGUGCGGGAUGACGGCCUUAGGGUUGUAAACCGCUUUCGCCUGUGACGAAGCGUGAGUGACGGUAAUGGGUAAAGAAGCACCGGCUAACUACGUG